AAAGAGUCGCUGUACAAGUCAGUACAACCAACGGUUUAGCUAAGCCAAUCAAACAAUUUUUUUAUUAUCAAAAACCCUAAUUUAUUCAUUAAAUUUUACUUCACUCUGCAUGUUAGCUUUGUUUGGUUCAUCAAUGGCGAACCUUCCGAUCCUCCAAUUUGAGGAGCAAAUCGUAGAAACGGUGGACCGGAACCCGGUGGUGGUGAUAAUCGGAGAGACCGGUUCAGGAAAGAGCACCCAGCUCUCUCAGAUUCUGCACCGCAGAGGCUAAACCAAGUCUGGAAUCAUCGGCGUCACUCAGCCUCGUCGAGUCACUGCAGUUUCAGUCGCCAGGUUGCUUUAAAGAUCAUCUCUAGCGCAUGGUCUGGAGUUGAGGAAACCACCGAAUGGGGUGUUAUAGCUAUAUAGGUGAAAAACUACGCACGACAUGCAAUAUGCUAAUCCCAUUAACUAAUAUAUCAAACCUUAAUUGAGAUAAUAUAUCUAGAAGGUAA